GUAUUCUUUUCAGCAGUGCAUAUACUAACAUUGGAACAACACAAUACAGAGAUUAGCUUGGUCCUGUGAAGGAUGACAUGCUAAUCUGUGAAACAGUCCUUGUUUUU
ensembl:snRNA U6 U6 spliceosomal RNA